rnacentral:rRNA from 1 species
CCCGAAACCGACACAGGUGGUCAGGUCGAGAAGACCAAGGCGCUUGAGAGAACUCUGGUGAAGGAACUAGGCAAAAUAGUACCGUAACUUCGGGAGAAGGUACGCUGUUGAGGGUGAAGUAUUUACUACGUAAGCCUUUGGCAGCCUCAGAAACUAGGCCGCUGCAACUGUUUAUUAAAAACACAGCACUCUGCAAACACGAAAGUGGACGUAUAGGGUGUGAUGCCUGCCCGGUGCUGGAAGGUUAAUUGAUGGGGUUAGCGAAAGCGAAGCUCUUGAUCGAAGCCCCAGUAAACGGCGGCCGUAACUAUAACGGUCCUAAGGUAGCGAAAUUCCUUGUCGGGUAAGUUCCGACCUGCACGAAUGGCAUAAUGAUGGCGGCGCUGUCUCCACCAGAGACUCAGUGAAAUCGAAAUCGCGGUGAAGAUGCCGUGUACCCGCGGCUAGACGGAAAGACCCCGUGAACCUUUACUGCAGCUUUGCAUUGAACUUUGACCUUACUUGUGU